ensembl:lncRNA
GUUGGGGUGAGUAAGAGACAGAGAGAGGUAGAGAGAUUUCCUUCCUUGGUGCGGUCCUAUCUGUUCCAUCUAGUAUCUGGUGCACACCAUCAGUAUACACUAUGAACGUGUGCCAUCAGAAAUGGGCAGUGUGGCCGCUGUGGUGGCUCUCGCUGUCGAAGCUCAUAGGCGAGGUUUAAAUCAGUUGUGGUUGUUUUUUCGUACAAAAACUCAUCCGACUAGCAGAGAUACAUUAUGGUGGGUUGCAGAACAACAGAUUGUGUGUCUGCAUACCAGGGACUGUGGUGGGAAGUGGCUGAACUACAGCCCAUUAAAAACUCAACAGUCGCUGAUGUUCCUCUUUAGUAUUUACAAUCCAGAGACAGGUCCUUAUGCAUGUAGGGGUUACACUGUGAAUACAGAUACAGGUCAUGUAGGGGGUUAGACAGUGAAUACAGAGACAGGUCAUUAAGGAGCAUGUAGGGGUUAGACAGUGAAUACAGAGACAGGACAUUAAGGAGCAGGUAGGGGUUAGACAGUGAAUACAGAGACAGGUCAUUAAGGAGCAGGUAGGGGUUAGACAGUGAAUACAGAGACAGGUCAUUAAGGAGCAGGUAGGGGUUAGACAGUGAAUACAGAGACAGGUCAUUAAGGAGCAGGUAGGGGUUAGACAGUGAAUACAGAGUCAGGACAUUAAGGAGCAUGUAGGGGUUAGACACUGAAUACAGACAGGUCAUUAAGGAGCAGGUAGGGGUUAGACACUGAAUACAGAGACAGGUCAUUAAGGAGCAGGUAGGGGUUAGACACUGAAUACAGAGACAGGUCCUUAAGGAGCAGGUAGGGGUUAGACAGUGAAUACAGAGACAGGUCAUUAAGGAGCAGGUAGGGGUUAGACAGUGAAUACAGAGACAGGUCAUUAAGGAGCAGGUAGGGG